CGACCUCGAGUCCCUGACAACUCAGAAUCCUGAAAUAAAACUCUUUGUAAAACAAAACUCUCACAAGCUCAUCACCGAAAAAUCAAAUAUCUUUAUUUUUUAUGCAAUAUACAGUUUUGAGCCGUUGAAGGCCGCAAACAGAGAAGUUAAACAAUGGGUUCGUCUUCAAACGCAGCUAUACCACAAAUGCAGGAAAUUAUGCUGGAGUUUCGUGCUGGUAAAAUGGUUUUUGAGGGGAAAAAGGUUGCUCCUGAUACCCGUAAAGGACUUGUUCGCAUUGCGAAGGGUGAUGAGGGGUUGGUGCAUUUUCAGUGGCUUGAUCGGAGCCAAAAUGUUGUUGAAGAUGAUCAGAUCAUCUUUCCCGAUGAGGCAGUUUUUGAAAAGGUUAAUCAAGCAUCAGGAAGGGUUUACUUAUUGAAGUUCAACACUGAUGAUAGGAAGUUCUUCUUCUGGAUGCAGGAGCCUAAAGCUGAAAAUGACUCACACUUGUGUAGCUCAGUCAAUUACUACCUCAAUCGACCAUUAGAGUUCCUUGAUGAAGAAGGGCCUGAUGCUUCUGUUCCUCUACAAGUUUCUGAAGAUGUGGUUGAAGAUGAUAUUUCAUCAAGAGCUGGAAUAUUGGUGGAACCAAACUUCGGUGCAGAAGUAAGUAGCGAUGUGACUUCUUCAUCUGGCCCAGUGAAAUUGGAAGAUCUUCAAAGAAUCUUAAGCAAUAUUGACCCAGCAGAUACUGCUUUGGAUCCAGAUGAGGGCUUGAGUUUGGGGGACAUAUUGAAACCUGAUUUGAUUAUGCCAUUGAUUGAGACAUUGCAACUAGAGCAGCGUUUAGAGUCUUACUUACCUGAGGGUCAAUGGUCUCCAGAGGAUAUUUUGGAGUUGCUGCAGAGUCCACCAUUCCGCCAACAAAUGGAUUCAUUUGCUUAUGUACUUCGAACAGGACAGAUAGAUUUGUCUCAGUUUGGUGUUGACCCAAGUAAAUACAAAUUCACUGUAUUGUCUUUUCUUGAGGCACUUGAGGAUUCGGUUUCGAAGGCUUCAGAGUCUGAUGAGUCGAGGCAAGACAACAAGGAUUUAAGAUCUGAAUCUUGUAAUCGUAACGAUCCCAUGGAUGAGUCCAAGUAGUGGAGACACUUGUUUUUACGCGUUUCUGUUCAUUUAUCCUCCGUUCGUUUGUAGGACUUUUAUCCAGUCUUCUUGUAACACUCUAUACAUCGUUGGUUCAGGAAAGGGAAAAGAUGCAACAAGAAAUGUAAGAUACGACUGCCAUGGCUGCAACCUCCAUGGUGAUCAAGUUUAUUUGUUGUAUUUUCUUCAAUUGCACGUAUAUCCUCUGACGUAAUUUUGCAAAAGGUUGGGUGUCCAGAGAAAUCGAAUGCGUCUAGAAAAAAGCUUGGGUGGAAAUAAAAUCAGACAAACGAAAAGAAACUUGGGCUUUUCACAUAUAGAGAAAAAUCUUUCAAGUUCAAUAUUUUAGAGAAAUCUCCUGUUGUAGUUUUAAAUGGAAAAACUAAUACACACUAAGGGCCAGUUUGGCAUUGUUGUGUUGUGAAAAUAAUUGAUGUUAGAUUUGUUGUGAAAGAAAUCAGCUGUGAAAUAAAGUAGUUUGGCAUUUGGUAAA